CUUCUUUGUGUGUUGAGCUGGACAGUCGUGGGUUUGCUAGUAUUCUGCCUAAUGCAUUCUGCGCUAAUGGAGAAUUUCAUGUUAUUCAGAGGCAGCAGACAUGUUACUCUGAAGGAGGAUGACAGAUAACUGAAAAAAUGGUCAGGAUCUUCCAGGUAUUGUUGUUUUGUCUAAUACAGUGCGGCCAUGGUAGCCAAUCUGAGUAGAAGACACUUCACAAAACACACAACAGUUUAAAAACAGG